AAAACGGUGAACCUCCGAAUGGCUCAUUAAAUCAGUUAUCGUUAAUUUGAUAGUACCUUCCUACUUGGAUACCUGUGGUAAUUCUAGAGCUAAUACAUGCUAAAAACCCUCAACUUCGGAAGGGGUGUAUUUAUUAGAUAAAAAGCCAAUGCCCUUCGGGGCUCCUUGGUGAUUCAUAAUAACUUAACGAAUCGCAUGGCCUUGCGCCGGCGAUGGUUCAUUCAAAUUUCUGCCCUAUCAACUUUCGAUGGUAGGAUAGUGGCCUACCAUGGUUUCUACGGGUAACGGGAGAUUAGGGUUUGACUCCGGAGAGGGAGCCUGAGAAACGGCUACCACAUCCAAGGAAGGCAGCAGGCGCGCAAAUUACCCAAUCCCGACACGGGGAGGUAGUGACAAUAAAUACUGAUACAGGGCUCUUUUGGGUCUUGUAAUUGGAAUGAGUACAAUUUAAAUCCCUUAACGAGGAACAAUUGGAGGGCAAGUCUGGUGCCAGCAGCCGCGGUAAUUCCAGCUCCAAUAGCGUUUAUUAAAGUUGUUGCAGUUAAAAAGCUCGUAGUUGAAACUUGGCCUUGGUUGACCGGUCCGCCUCACCGCGUGCACUGGUUCGGCCGGGGCUUUCCUUCUGGGGAUCCGCAUGGCCUUCAUUGGUCGUGCUGGGGAACCAGGACUUUUACUUUGAAAAAAUUAGAGUGUUCAAAGCAGGCCUAUGCUCGAAUACAUUAGCAUGGAAUAAUAGAAUAGGACGUGUGGUUCUAUUUUGUUGGUUUCUAGGACCGCCGUAAUGAUUAAUAGGGAUAGUCGGGGGCAUCAGCAANNNAUUNNCA
rnacentral:rRNA from 1 species